GCGGCCGUGGCGUAACUGGCAGCCGCGCGGCGUUUAGGUCGCCGUGGGAGAAAUCCCGUGUGGGUUCGAGUCCCACCGGCCGCA
rnacentral:tRNA from 2 species